rnacentral:lncRNA from 1 species
AUGACACCAUUACAUACCAUACUCUUUCUUAGUUCAGUUAUGACUGACAGGUGUCACAACAGUUAUAAUCAUAUAUGAAUGAAUUAUGAUAAUCAAAAUAUAAAAUUAAUAACAAUUUAUAUUUAAAAUUACGAAAAAAUUUUUCAUAUCAGGAUAAGAAAUUCAUUAUUACAGAAAUAUUUUCAACAUAUCCAUGACAUUUUUGUCAAAUGGCUGAUGCACAUGAACCCAGAAAACUUCAGAAUUAUCCAUCCAAUCCAAAAACUAUUACAGAAUUAUCUAUGCAGUCCAUCAAAAACAUUCAUAUCCUUAGUCAGUCCAAAGGUAACAAUAUUAUUAACAAGUGUGACCCUAGCAGUCUAUCAAGCAUCUGGUUGUGGUGCAUUGGUUGAUAUAUUUUAUCUGGUACCAAAUACCUGUUGAAUAUGCUGAAUCAAACUUUCACAUACUUAGCAUUUCAUAUAUGUGUAUUUUUUUUAUUUAUUUAUCUUAAUUGUAUUAGUAAUAUGCAUUUUAUUAUUGUCAUUAUUAUUUUUAAUUUUACUGUAAUUUUAUUUUUUACUUAUCUAUCUAUUUUUCAUAACAUAUAAUAAUUCUUUUUUUUAUAUUAUAAACCUAAC